rnacentral:sRNA from 1 species
GUCGCUGCAGGACCCGCGGGACCGCUUCGAGCUGCUGCAGCGCGUGGGGGCCGGGACCUAUGGCGACGUCUACAAGGUGCGACGGGACGGGCGGGAGAGCCGGGAGGAGGGUGCCAGCCCCGCACCCCGCGGCAGGAUCUAGCCCCCGGCCCCGCCCCACACCGCUUCACCCUCCGCCCCUGCAGGCCCGCGACACGGUCACGUCCGAACUGGCCGCCGUGAAGAUAGUCAAGCUAGACCCAGGGGACGACAUCAGCUCCCUCCAGCAGGAAAUCACCAUCCUGCGUGAGUGCCGCCACCCCAAUGUGGUGGCCUACAUUGGCAGCUACCUCAGGUGAGGCUGCCUUAUCCUCCUGGCCCCAGGCAGCCCCCAUGUGACCUGCUUUGUGCCCACCCCAGCUCUUUGUCCCUAGGAAUGACCGCUUGUGGAUCUGCAUGGAGUUCUGCGGAGGGGGCUCCCUGCAGGAGAUUUACCAUGCCACUGGGCCCCUGGAGGAGCGGCAGAUUGCCUACGUCUGCCGAGAGGCACUGAAGGGGCUCCACCACCUGCAUUCUCAGGGGAAGAUCCACAGAGACAUCAAGCUGACUUUGGGGUGUCAGGCGAGCUGACAGCGUCUGUGGCCAAGAGGAGGUCUUUCAUUGGGACUCCCUACUGGUGAGGCUGCGCCUGGGGCGGAGGGGUAGGGGCCACAGAGCGGGGCACCCGGCCAUCCCAUCUGUGACUCCACCUCUAGGAUGGCUCCCGAGGUGGCUGCUGUGGAGCGCAAAGGUGGCUACAAUGAGCUAUGUGACGUCUGGGCCCUGGGCAUCACUGCCAUUGAGCUGGGCGAGCUGCAGCCCCCUCUGUUCCACCUGCACCCCAUGAGGUCAGCCCAACACUUGCCCCUCACCUGACCCUUGAUCUGCGGCCUGUGGCCCCUGACCUCGCGCCCUCCACAGGGCCCUGAUGCUCAUGUCGAAGAGCAGCUUCCAGCCGCCCAAACUGAGAGAUAAGACUCGCUGGACCCAGAAUUUCCACCACUUUCUCAAACUGGCCCUGACCAAGAA